GCCGGGGAGCCGUCUGUAGCGGCGUAGGCCCGUGCCCCUGCUCGCGCUGCAGCCCGUGGAAGGGUUGCGUCCAGUGUAUCCUCCAGAUCUUGCGGUAGUCCUCUCGUAUCUGUGCGCGCGCGGGAGGGACAGCGGCGGCGACGGCCGGAGGUGUACGGUCAGCGGGUUGCGGAGGAUCGUGCGGGUAGCAAAGGGAGGCCGAGUGCGCCUGCGGCUCCCAGACGGCAAACGGUUGCUUCCUCUACUGAAGUCUUGAAACCCCUGAAAGUCAUCCCUGAGGGUUGGAGUUAACUUCUUCUACACUCCUGUUAAUGUUGAUAUUUUGGCCUCCUCCCAUGAAUCACAAAUGUUCUUAAUGGCAUCUAGAAUGGUGCUGUCAACUCUCACCUGGUUUCCUUAGCUCUGGUGAAGUAUUUUCGUGUAUGGAUUGUUUUUCAAAUUGAUGUUUCUGUUGGGGGAUGAGCACUGGAAAGUCCUGCUCUGCCGUCUUGCUGCCAUCUGGACUCCCAAGAACAUGCAUCAUUAUUAGAACCAUCACCCUGCAGCUAGCUUGGAUACCAUUAAAAGGGCUCACCAGCUGCAAACGGAUAAAAGUAUCUGAUACUCGGGAAGACAGAGUUUCAGGGUUUCUACCUGGAGCUACACCCUCCAGAAGCCCCUCCUUGGCCUCCCUGCACCCAGCCCCAUCCCAGCCAGUCACAUCUUGGGCUGUACGUGGUGUUUCUUGGAAACCGGAACACAGACUCCUCCAGCAGCUCCACAGGCCCCUUGUCCUCAGUGAGCAGAAGACUACAGGAGCUGGCUACUGAAGAGGCUGUCCAAGUGAUAGAGCACCUUCUUGGCCCUGCUUAGCACAUUUACUGCAGAGCUGGAUGCUACUUAUUUGUGCUCACCACCUUCAGGGACUGCAGAGGGAUUUGUCAGACCCUACUUCACUAAGGGCCACCCUCUAAGGAUCUCCAGAAGAGGCUGCCCAUAGAGAGAAGUGGCCUGCCUAGGGUCUCCACUGCCUCAGGUCCUACCCGGACACCUCUAGGGCUGAGGGGAUCGGUAUCUCUUCACCUACCUGUAAUCCACAUACCAAGUGGAAGAAUCUGCCUGCUAUUUUUUGUUUGUUUUGGCGGGAAGAGUUUUAACUACUGCUGUAAUUCCUUUAGUAGCUAUGGAACUGUUGAGGAUUUCUUUUUCUUCUUGAGUCGAUUUUCGUAAGAUAACAGUUUUCUAGGAGUUGGUCCAUUUUGCCUGCAUUUUCAAAUUCAUUGGCAUCAAGUUUCCUUUUUAUUCUCUGCUGUGUAUAAACUGUAACGAUGUCUCCUUUUUCAUUACUGAUAUUGGUUAUUUGUGCCUUCUCACUUUUUUUCUUGAUCAAUCUCACCAGAGGUUUAUCUAUUUUAUUAGUCUUUUCAAAGAACCAACUUUUGGCUUUGUUGCUCCUCUCUAUUGUAUCUUUGUUUUCUAUUUCUUUAAUUUCCGCUCUUAUCUUUUUUGAUCUCCUUCCUUCCACAUUUUUUGGGUUUAUUCUGUUGUUCUUUUUCUAAUUUCUUUAACUGGACAUUGAGCUCAUUAAUUUUCAUUCUUGCCCAUUUUCUAAUUUGUGCAUUUAAGGAUAUAAUUUCCCUCUAACUACUGCUUCUCCAUAAGUGUAGAUAUGUAGUAUUUUCAUUAUUGUUCAGUUAUAAGUAUUUCAUUUCCAUCAAGGUUACUUCUUUUACCUGUAAGUUAUAUAGAAAUGUGUUUUUAGAUUUCCAAAUGUUUGGGGAUUUAAAAUUUUACCUCUUUGUUAUUGAAAGCUGUCUUAAUUGCAUUAUGGUCAGAGGAUGUGGUUCGUGUGAUAACAACUCUGAAAUUUUUUAGACUUGUUUUAUGGCUUAGUAUGUGACCAAUAUUUUUGAAUGCUUCCUAUGUGCUAAUUUAUAAGAAUGUGUGUUCUCUAAUUGUUGAAUACAGAGAUCUGCAUAUGUCUAUUAUCAAGUUUGUCCAACUAUUGUUCAAUUUUUACUUAUCUAUACUAAGUUUUUGGUCAUGAUCUACCAAUAAUUGAAAGAGGUGUGUUAAUAUUCAACUGUGAUGGUGGAUUUGGCAAUUUCUCCUUGUAAUUCUAUCUCAUUUCUUGCUUUAUAUAUUUCGAGGGUGUUCAUUAGGAAUAUUCAAAUUAAGAAUUGUUAUAUAUUCCUGAUAAAUAUGUAAUGACCCUCUCUAUUCCUGAUAAUGCAUUUUUCUUUGAAACCUAUUUUAUCUUAUAUUAAUGUAGUAACACAAAUUUUUCUUGUUGGGAUUUGUGUGGUAUAUAAUUUUCCAUCCUUUUACUUUUGAGCAUUUUCAUGCCAUCAUGCUUUAAUUACAUCUCUUGGAAACAACAUAUAACUGGACUUUUUAAAAAAUCUAAUCUGAUGAUCUCUUUUAGUUGGCAAGUUUAGUCUGUUUAUAUUUACUGUGAUGUAUUUGGGCUUAUUUCUACCAUCAUACUUUUUUAUUUCUGUUUACCACCACUACCUUUUUCUAUGCUUCAUUUUCUCUUUUCUUGCCUGCUUUUUUAGUUUUGAGAUUUGUUUUCUUAUUCAAUUGCUUCCUCCCUAUUUUAAUUUUUUUUCUAUUCUUUCUGUGGUUACCCUUAUAAAGUCUAAAGUUAAACAAUAUUUUAGCCUCCUUCUUGAAGAAUGCAGGAAGCUUAGAAACCUUCAACUCUAGUCAUUCCUCUCCUCACUACAUACUAUUGUUUUCAAAUAUGUUAGUUUGUUCCUUUUUAUAAACCUCACAAUUAUGCAUCUUUAUCAGUAUUACUUUAUAUAGACAGUGUUUGUUUGGACUUACAUGCAUACAUUCUUGUAUCGCAGACCAUCCUUUGGGAUCAUUUUCUUUCAUUAUGAAUAUAGUGUUUUAGUGGGUUGUUUUUUUUUUUUUUAAGUACAGGUCUCUUGAUGUUAAAUUCUUCCAGUCUUUCUUAUAUGUAAAUGUCUUUAUUUUAUCCUCAUUCCUAAAAGAUAGUUUGUUACAGGUAUUUUUACUCAACACUUAGAAUAUAUGGUUCCAUUCUCUUUUAGCUUUGAGAAGUCUUUAUUGCUAUUAAGAAGUCGACUAUCAGACUAAUUGCUGGUUUUGUGUGUGUGUGCCUGUGUGUGUAGUAGAAUGUGCAGAGGGUCCUGCAGUUUUACUCUAACAUGUUUACAUACGUAUUUUUUUUUAUUUAUUCUACUUUGGAAAUGUCAUGUUUCGUGGCUCAGUGGAUUCAUGCUUUUCAUCAUUUCUGGGAAAUUCUCAGCCAUUAUCUCUUCAAAUAUUGCCUUUCGUUUUUUCUAGUUUUUCUUUCUCAGAAUACAGUUAGUCAUAUUUUGGACCUCCUCAUUCUGUCUUCCGUAUCUCAUAACAUCUCUGAGAUUUUCUAUCUCCUUGUCUUCCUGCAUUUCAUUCUGGAUAAUUUCUUUAGGUAUAUCUUUCAGCUUACUGAUUCUCUUUUCAAUUAACUUUAAUCUGCCCAUUGAGUUUUUUAUUUCAAAAGUUAUAUUUUUCAUUUGUACAAAGCUCAUAUAUUUUACUUGCUAAUCUGCCUAGUCAUCCCUAAUAGUCUCUUAUUGCUUGGUCAUCUUUGUGAUUACAUCUGUUACUACUACUUUAAAACAUUUUAUAUACUUUUUGUUCAACCAGUAGUCACUGUUUGCAUGAGUAUGACAUUGUAAAUAUUGUUCACAUCAAAACUACAUAGUAUAUUCUGAUUAUAUAUCCUUUGUUGUAUACCCUUUUGUUUUCCUUGGAGCUAAUAAUUGUGUAUUUUGUUUUCUUUUGCUUAGUGUUCUAGUACCUAUUACUAUUCUUCUCUGAAAUUCUUUAUACAGUCCAAAUCAGAUCAUGUCCUUCCACUAUUCAGAAUUCUCCCAUGGCUCCCACCUCCCUCAACAAAAGCCAAAGCCCUCAACAUGGCCCAAAAGUCCCUGUAUAAUCUGGUUCCCUUUACCUCUCUUACCUUGUCUCCUAUCACUCUCA